GACGAACGCUGGCGGCGUGCUUAACACAUGCAAGUCGAACGAAGUGGCGAACGGGUGAGUAACGCGUAAACAACCCGCCCUUCAGAGGGGGACAACAGUUGGAAACGACUGCUAAUACCGCAUACUGAAGGAGGGGAUUGCGUGUGAUUAGCUAGUGGGAGGGGUAACGGCCCACCAAGGCGAUGAUCAGUAGGCGGGCUGAGAGGAUGGACGGCCACAUUGGGACUGGGACACGGCCCAGACUCCUUAGGGAGGCAGCAGGGGGGAAUCUUUCGCAAUUGACGAAAGUCUGACGGAGCAACGACGCGUGAGGGAUGACGGCCUUCGGGUUGUAAAGCUCUGUUAAUCGGGACGCGGUACCGGAAUAGAAAGCCACGGCUAACUACGUGCCAGCAGCCGCGGUAAUUC
rnacentral:rRNA from 1 species